rnacentral:rRNA from 1 species
GGAAGUGCGCUUCUAAUCGUCUUCGGACAAUUCUUGAACUCUGGUCUCAAAUCAGGUAGGGCUACCCGCUGAACUUAAGCAUAUCAAUAAGCGGAGGAAAAGAAACUAACAAGGAUUCCCUUAGUAACGGCGAGUGAACCGGGAAAAGCUCAAAUUUGUAAUCUGGCUGUCUUCGAUAGUCCGAGUUGUAAUCUAUAGACGUGUUUUCCGUGCUGGACCGUAUCUAAGUCCCUUGGAACAGGGUAUCAAAGAGGGUGACAAUCCCGUGCUUGAUACGACCACCAGUGCUCUGUGAUACACGUUCUACGAGUCGAGUUGUUUGGGAAUGCAGCUCAAAAUGGGUGGUAAAUUCCAUCUAAAGCUAAAUAUUGGCGAGAGACCGAUAGCGAACAAGUACCGUGAGGGAAAGAUGAAAAGCACUUUGGAAAGAGAGUUAAACAGUACGUGAAAUUGUUGAAAGGGAAACGAUUGAAGUCAGUCGUGUUCUUUGGAUUCAGCUAGUUCUUCUAGUCUACUUCCAUUGAACGGGUCAACAUCAGUUUUGUCCGGUGGAUAAAGGUAUUAGGAAUGUAGCUCCCUCGGGAGUGUUAUAGACUAGUAUUGCAUACACUGGGUGAGACUGAGGACUGCAGCUCGCCUUUUGGCCGGCCUUCGGGCACGUUCGAGCUUAGGAUGUUGACAUAAUGGCUUUAAACGACCCGUCUUGAAACACGGACCAAGGAGUCUAACAUAUCUGCGAGUGUUUGAGUGUCAAACUCGAGCGCGU